GAUGAACGCUGGCGGCGUGCCUAAUACAUGCAAGUCGAGCGAACAGACGAGGAGCUUGCUCCUCUGACGUUAGCGGCGGACGGGUGAGUAACACGUGGAUAACCUACCUAUAAGACUGGGAUAACUUCGGGAAACCGGAGCUAAUACCGGAUAAUAUAUUGAACCGCAUGGUUCAAUAGUGAAAGACGGUUUUGCUGUCACUUAUAGAUGGAUCCGCGCCGCAUUAGCUAGUUGGUAAGGUAACGGCUUACCAAGGCGACGAUGCGUAGCCGACCUGAGAGGGUGAUCGGCCACACUGGAACUGAGACACGGUCCAGACUCCUACGGGAGGCAGCAGUAGGGAAUCUUCCGCAAUGGGCGAAAGCCUGACGGAGCAACGCCGCGUGAGUGAUGAAGGUCUUCGGAUCGUAAAACUCUGUUAUUAGGGAAGAACAAAUGUGUAAGUAACUAUGCACGUCUUGACGGUACCUAAUCAGAAAGCCUCGGCUAACUACGUG
rnacentral:rRNA from 1 species